AAAAAAAACACAAAUAAGAAAAAUAGUCAUGAGUUUUGUAGAGUGGUACAAUCUUUCUCUCAUUUGACUUCAACCGAUUUGUUCUGAUACCAAUUCGCCAGGUAACUGCUGAUUUCAACUUCAUUUUAUGGAUUUAAAUUUCUUGACUUCUGGAGUUAUUUGGUCAAUGCAGUAGUACUAAAAAUCGAUUUUGAUUUUAUAGGUCUGUUCUGAUUCUAAUUUGACUGCAGAUAUUGAAAAUCAUGUGAAGACUCCAAUUUUCUUCCACCGGGGAUAUGUUUUUCUUGCUUGGGAUUGCAUAUUAUGUAUUGCAUUUCCUGAAAUGAAAUUAUUUUCUUUUAUUACGGGACAAAAUUUUGACAUUUUCUUUCAAAUAAGGACUUUCAAAGAUGAUUUUGAAGUGGCCUUUCAGCUGCUUGAUACCUUCGAGAAUCUAAUUUCGUUCUUGUUGCAUUUAUGUGUUAUAGAAGUCAUCCUUGUUCGAGUUCUUUAUAUUAGUGAUUUUGAUGCCAAAUUGCUGAUAUAAUGCCUGAAAUGCUGCAUUCACCAGAAACCACGAGUUUGUGUAACAACAUUAAGGAGGCGUUUGCUUUUAAUGAUUGAUAAGAUACAUGGAGUAUUUUUAUCCUCAUUACUAAGAUUUCUUUAAUCCCACUAUUUCAAUGAGAUAUGAAUCAAGCAAAACUAGCUCAAAUGACAGACAUUAUGAGGGCCUUGUGGUAUCCCAAAGUUCCACUCCGUUUGAGUAAACAAUGGAUUAGCUUAUUUCAUUUUUAUCUAUCCAUGUUAAUCCUCAAAAUUAAACGCCCUAAGAGGAUGUUUUGUAUCACAAUUUUUUUUUUAAUUUUUUUUCCGAGUAGGAUAUCAGGAAAUCACUAAUUUAAAAGGUGCCAAGUUGGAUAGAAUAUUCUAAGUAGACUUCAAGUGAAAAUAAUAGCUGUUUCGUUGCUUAAUGGUUUAAGGGAAUUUGCCCUAGCCUCCAAACCCUGUAUUUUACAAAAGGGAAUUUGUCAUUUAAUUGCAUUGGACUCAGAAGUUCUUUGUUUUGCCAUAGUUUGUACUAUUGGGACUUAGGUUACUUGAUUUUCCAUGGCAUCUCAUGUGGAAUCAACGUUUGAAAAUCAAUCUUACUAGGCAUAGGAGACCCUUGUGCUCUAUAUUAAUAUGUCUUAACCUGCAUUGAUAGAAUCCUGAGGAACUGAUUGUAAAGUCCUAUCCAUUUGCUAUGUCGGCAUACCUGACCUAGGCCUGGCAGUUUGCCGUGUUACUGCCUUUUACAUUUCAGUUAAUUUAGUUUGAGAACCUUCACAUUCAUAUAUCCAAAAUCUCAUGAGGAAAUAGGCUGAUGAGAACUGUCUUUUAACAUUUGUAUUUUAAGUUGAGAAUGUGAGUGGAUAUAAUUAAGCAUAUUGAAUAUAAAUGAGAAAUGCAUCUGCUUUUUAUUGGAUCUUCUUUUCGGCCCCGGUUUGGUUGUCUUUUCGUCAUGUAAUUGAUGCAUGUCUGCAACUGAUCUGUUGACGUGUCAAAUACAAAAUGUGGAACAAUCAUUUCCAAGUGUCUAGUUUAAUUCUCUGCUUCCUGAAGAUGAGUCUUCAUUGUUAUUAGUCUGAGAUUCCUGAAGAUGAGUCUUCAUCGUUAUUGGUCUGAGAUUUCUUCUAAAGAAAGGUGCUAUAUACUUCAUUUUUUUAUAUUUUGUUACUAAAAUUCUGUCUCAUGAAGAGGUAAGGCAACAUUUUCAGGAAAAUAUAGGAGAAAAAAUCACUAAUUUUUUUGUUUGACUAGUUUGCGUUGUUGGUAUGAUCUUACUUUAUACAUGGAGCCUCAUUGUUUUAUCUCACUAGUUAAUAAAUGUAAAAGCUUCUCUCUCUCUUGAUUGCAUUAGAUAACUGUAAAAGGAUUUCUUUUUUACUUAGCAAUAAUAGACCUGAAGAACCAAGCUAUGAAUUUGAGGUAGUUGCUACUCCCAUAACUCAGUUUUUUGAGUGGGUUAUUCCUUUGAAAUGUUUGUUGAGAUUGAUUGAACUCUUGAAAAGCUGAAGUUGAAUUCCAUGUAAAUUACUGCAUAAACCUAUUUGUUUGUUUCAACAUGUGGUCAUUCCAAUGCCCUGAAGCAUAAAUGUAUAAAAAUGGAGAUCUGAGAAGGUCAUGAUCAUACAUUUGAUGUACAUUAUUGUUGCUUAUUUUGAUAAAUAUUUCUUAUUAUACCAUACCCACAUGUUUGUGCAAUGCAACAUAAUGAAAAUUACUCUUGGAAAAGAAGUUCACUAGUUGCAACUUGCAAUUGUUUUGCUUUAUAGAAACGGUGUUGCUAUGAAUAUAGUAUUUGGAGCAUUGAGCGAUAAGGUGCAUUGUAGUUUGACAUGGAGGGUAUCCGUUGAAUCAUUGGAUAUUUUCCUUUUAUUAUGCUUGCUACCUGAUGUUAUUUAAUCAUUUGCAGAUACUCUUAUUUCACUUUUAUCACUGACAUACUGCACUCUAUGAUUGAGGGAAGCAACAUAAGAGAAUCUCAGAUCCUUUGUAAGAAGUUGGUGUUGCUAUUCUAUCACAUCUAUUGUCAUUUUUAAUGGAAUCAGAGAAAUGAUGGAACGAACUUUUAUGUCCAUAUUUUUGCAAUGUUAUGCCUACAUUUCCCUUCUUAAUUCAUAUAUGCCUCCUUUCUUUGAGUCCCAACAGAAAGAGUGAUUCUGAUUGCAAUCUGUUUAACCAGGUCCAGAGUUGGAAGCAUUGAUGAAACUCAUUGCAGGUCGUUCAGGUUGAAGAGUUGGUUCAAGAUAAUUUAUGGUCUAAGAUUCUUUGUAUCUAACAGCUCAAGAUGUAUCAUACAUUAUAGUGCUGUUGCAUAGAGUGAUUAUUGUUUGUUAGUGCCAAAAACACACAAUGACAAUCCGAUCCUUUUAUAGCAAGAGUGGUU
rnacentral:lncRNA from 1 species